rnacentral:miRNA from 1 species
AACCUGUGCUUCUCUUCCCAGU